CCUACGGGAGGCAGCAGUGGGGAAUCUUGCGCAAUGGGCGAAAGCCUGACGCAGCCAUGCCGCGUGAAUGAUGAAGGUCUUAGGAUUGUAAAAUUCUUUCACCGGGGACGAUAAUGACGGUACCCGGAGAAGAAGCCCCGGCUAACUUCGUGCCAGCAGCCGCGGUAAUACGAAGGGGGCUAGCGUUGCUCGGAAUUACUGGGCGUAAAGGGAGCGUAGGCGGAUAGUUUAGUCAGAGGUGAAAGCCCAGGGCUCAACCCUGGAAUUGCCUUUGAUACUGGCUAUCUUGAGUGUGGGAGAGGUAUGUGGAACUCCGAGUGUAGAGGUGAAAUUCGUAGAUAUUCGGAAGAACACCAGUGGCGAAGGCGACAUACUGGCCCAUUACUGACGCUGAGGCUCGAAAGCGUGGGGAGCAAACAGGAUUAGAUACCCUGGUAGUCCACGCUGUAAACGAUGAGUGCUAGUUGUCGGCAUGCAUGCAUGUCGGUGACGCAGCUACGACUAUUAAGACACUCCGCCGUCGGGGUAGGUACGGUCGGCGAAGUAAGUUAAACGUUAACGAAAGUAAGUUAGUUACGGACGNGAGAGACGCGACGACGACGACGACGGAGGAGG
rnacentral:rRNA from 1 species